rnacentral:rRNA from 1 species
UACGGGAAGCAGCAGUGGGGAAUAUUGCACAAUGGGCGCAAGCCUGAUGCAGCCAUGCCGCGUGUAUGAAGAAGGCCUUCGGGUUGUAAAGUACUUUCAGUCGUGAGGAAGGUGUUAAGGUUAAUAACCUUAGCAAUUGACGUUAGCGACAGAAGAAGCACCGGCUAACUCCGUGCCAGCAGCCGCGGUAAUACGGAGGGUGCGAGCGUUAAUCGGAAUUACUGGGCGUAAAGGGCACGCAGGCGGUUAAUUAAGUUGGAUGUGAAAUCCCCGGGCUUAACCUGGGAAUGGCAUUCAAGACUGGUUAGCUAGAGUCUUGUAGAGGGGGUAGAAUUCCAUGUGUAGCGGUGAAAUGCGUAGAGAUGUGGAGGAAUACCGGUGGCGAAGGCGGCCCCUGGACAAAGACUGACGCUCAUGUGCGAAAGCGUGGGGAGCAAACGAGGGAUUAGAUACC